UGCAAGAGAAGUUGGACAUUUUUUAAAGGUCCCUGCGCUCGCCAAGCGGAGGAAAUAGAUGCUCAGGAGUGAACUACCGAGAGAAUCGGAUCUGGCGCCUCCUAACGCAGCUGGCAAACAUGCGAAGGUGGAACACUUCACAAAUAUGCAUGUCAUCCUUGUGUAGUGGCCAUGCCAACCUUUGUAUUGUUCCAACUUUAGUAGACUGAGAGAGAGAUCCCGGAAACAGCUCAACCCCAGGCCGGGAGAGGUAAAAGAAAUCUGGCAGCGGUUGGAUGCAGAGACACCAACUAAAAACCUAGUGGACUGAAGUCCUUUUGAAGGAGUGGAGAGACUACCCUGAACUUGGUGUGGUGAGCCCUGACUCAGGGUUUCUAAAAGGAGAAUGACAGUCACCAGCUUAGAACAGAAAGAGGACAGAUGGGCACGUCUGCAAGAUAAAAAUAUCACUAGCACCAGCAUUGCUCCAGUACCUUGAGUUUAUUCCCAGGCCUCUGUCCUCUUCUUCCCUUUCAUCCUCUGAGCAGAAAACAGCUAACUAGAUGAUUCAUUCACAUUUACAGGGUACUGCCUACUAUAUGGCAGGCACCAGGUUCAACUGUUUCUCCGUGUUGUCUUGUUUUAUGCAGUCAGCUAUUCUGUGAGUAGAUACUCAUAGAUAUCAUUAUCCCCAUUUUCUAGAUGGGGGAUCUGAGGCUUAGAGAGAUUAAAUAUAACUCUAGCUCCCCAGUGUUGGGCCUGGGCUUGUUUGCCCUCAAAUCCAUUCCUUGCCCUUCCUCUGUUUAGCUCUGUAUCACAGGAAGGCCAACCUCUGCAGGCUGCCAAAUCAACUGACUUCCUGUAUAGAUUGACCAAUGGGAGUCAGUGAUAGGAGCCUGGUGGGCGGGAGGAAGGGAGAAGCCUGGGUAUUUCUCCCUCUCUCUGCCUCAGGUAAUAUUUCCAGUAGCAGCUACAUUUCCUAUGUCUCCACCUCCCAUCAGACAGGCCCACUGUGGGUCCACCUUCUGUCUGGUGACCUCAGUCCUUCCUGGGUACCAGAAACACCACCUCCUCCUUUGGUCCCUCCAAUCCCAGGGGUGGUACUGGCCUUCCUGCUGUCGCUAAUCUGUAGGUUCUUUACCCUCCGUCCCCUGUUUGCGUGCUUCCAUGGUUCUUCCAUUACCUAGGAAGCAAUUCUUUGCAUAAAUUCCCCUAUUCUAGUAUCUGUUUUUCCUGGUUGGAUUCUCACUGGUUUUCUGCCUUUCGUGAACACUCGCAGAUUAGUCAAUUCAUCAGGUUCGGAAUGAAACAGUUCCCUCUCCUUGAGCACAGCACAUCCCACAAAAAGGAAAAUAGUAACCACCAUUUAUUGAGCAUUGUGCUCAGUGCCAGACAAAUGUUCUUUUGUGGAACACUCAUAGCAGCCCUUUCUGCCAAACCCCAUUAAUUACUAUUCCCAUUUGACAGGUGGGUCUCACAGAGGUUGGGUUGCUUGCCCAAAGUGGUACAGUUAUAAACUGACAAAGUUGGGAUUCGAGGAGCUCCCAGCUCCAAAAAUCUGCUUGUCUUUUUCUAAUCUCUGCUGACAUCUUGAACACACUUGCAACUCCCUGAUAAACCUAUUAGAACUCAAGUCCCUUGGCUGACUGAAGAUCCCACCUCAACUUACUCUAGGGUAAGUAUAUGAGCUUCCUAGGGCUGCUGUAACAAAGUACCACAAACUGGGUGGCCAAGAACACCAGAAAUUUAUUGUCUCAUGCUUUGGGGGACCAGAAGUCUGAAAUCAAGGUAUCAGCAGGGCUGUGGUCCCUCUGAAGGCUCCAUGGAAAGUUCUGACCCAGGCCUCUCUCCCAGCUUCUGGAAGCCUCAGGCACUCCUUGGUUUGUGGAUGGCCGUCUUCUCCCUGUGUCUCUUCAUAUCAUCUUCUCUCUGGGCCUGCCUGUGUGUCCAAAUCUCCCCCUUUUUAUAAGCACACUAGUCAUAUUGGAUUAGGGCUCACUGUAAUGAACUAAUUUUAACUUGGUUACCUCUCUAAAGACCCUGUUUCCAAAUAAGAUCGCGCUCCGAGGUACUGGGGGGGACACAAUUUAACUAAUAACAGUCCUUCUUGACCCAGGUGCUCAGUCUCUACAGUGUGACCUAGUUGGUCCUAUUUUUUUUUUUUUCUUGGCGGCUCUGCACAGCUCGUGGGAUCUUAGUUCCCUGACCAGGGAUUGAACCCAGGCCCAUGGCAGUGAAAGCGCAGAGUCCUAACCACUGGACUGCCAGGGAAUUCCCGGACCUGUAUUUCUAAUGGAGGAUGCUAGAUUUCCAGGAAGACCCCACCCCUUUAAGAGAUGCAAUGAUUCCCAAGUCAUGUAUGUAUUCCAAAAUAUAUCCCAACAUUUUACCCCAAAAUAUAGAGAGAGAUGUAAAGUACCUAGUAUAGCCAAACCAAUUUUGAAAAAGGAGGACAAAGUUGAAAGACUUAACCUACUUGACUUCAACACAUUUUAAAGCUAGAGUAAUCAAGAAAGUAUAUAUUGGCAUAUUAGCAAAUAGAGCAAUGGAAUAGAAUAGAGAAUCCAGAAACAGACCCUCACGUAUUGUCACUUGAUUUUUGACAGAAUGAUCCAUGCCUUUCAAUGGGGAAAUUUUACUCCACUCAAAAAUCAGUUUGAGAUGGAUCGUAAACAUAAACAUACAGGGAAAAACUCUAAGGCUUUAUACUUUUUAAAACUUUUUAAAAUUAUUAAUUUAUUUACUUGGCUGUGCUGGGUCUUAGUUGCAGCAUGCAUGCAUGUGGGAUCUAGGGCACGUGGGAUCUAGUUCCCUGACUAGGGAUUGAUCCCGGGCCCCCUGCAUUGGGAGUGCAGAGUCUUAACUGCUGGACCACCAGGGAGGUCCCUCUAAAGCUUUUUAAAAAUCUACAUUUAAAAAUUUUAAAACAUAGGUGAAUAUCUCCCUGACCUUGGGGUUGGCAAAGAUUUCUUAGCCAGGACAGAAAAAGCACUAACCAUAAAAGGCAUGAGCACAAACACACAGUCCCAGCAACAGCUUCUGACCAGGGAGAAGAGUGAGCCCUAAAAGCCCAGGGCCUGGGGAGCAGGGAGGCAGGGCAGGGGUUCCCCUGGACAUGGUCUCUGAGCUUCAGGCACAGAGAAUCAUUUUGAAAUCAACACAAACCCUAAUUCUGAAUCUUGUAACCAGUCCCCUGCUUCCAUCACCCAAUUCUUUGACUCUGAAAGCCCCUGGAUCACUUACUAAUGCUGCCUUCCAGAUGUCCUGUGGAGGUGGCACCAGGGCUGGGCAGCAGAGGGAUUUCACACAUUCUGUGUGACACAUAGAAGGAGUCACAGGGAGGCCUGUACCAGCUCCACAGAAAGAGAACUUUUGAACUCUUAGAAAUAACUGGUACAGAAGGAGGGCACUUCCCAUCACCAGAGGUAUACAAGCACUGGUCUAUAAAGGCACGAGCUCAAGAAAUGAUGGCUCUGGACUUCCCUGGUGGCGCAGUGGUUAAGAAUCCGCCUGCCAAUGGUUCGAGCCCUGGUCCGCGAAGAUCCCACAUGCCACAGAGCAACUAAGCCCGUGCGCCACAACUACUGAGCCUGCGCUCUACGGCCCGCGAGCCACAACUACUUGAGCCCACGCACCACAUCUACUGAAGCCCCUGUGCUCUACAACAAGAGAAGCCACCACAGUGAGAAGUCCGCGCACUGCAACGAAGAGUAGCCCCCGCUCGCCACAACUAGAGAAAGCCCACGCGCAGCAAUGAAGACCCAACACAGCCAAAAAUAAUAAAUAAAUAUAAAUAAAU